rnacentral:rRNA from 1 species
UACGGAGGGGGCUAGCGUUGUUCGGAAUUACUGGGCGUAAAGCGCACGUAGGCGGCUUUGUAAGUUAGAGGUGAAAGCCCAGGGCUCAACCCUGGAAUUGCCUUUAAGACUGCAUCGCUUGAAUUGUGGAGAGGUAAGUGGAAUUCCGAGUGUAGAGGUGAAAUUCGUAGAUAUUCGGAAGAACACCAGUGGCGAAGGCGACUUACUGGACACAUAUUGACGCUGAGGUGCGAAAGCGUGGGGAGCGAACAGG